GAGGAAGGUGGGGAUGACGUCAAGUCCUCAUGGCCCUUAUGUCCUGGGCUACACACGUGCUACAAUGGCGGUGACAGUGGGAAGCCAGGCAGCGAUGCCGAGCUGAUCCUCAAAAGCCGUCUCAGUUCGGAUUGCACUCUGCAACUCGGGUGCAUGAAGGUGGAAUCGCUAGUAAUCGUGGAUCAGCAUGCCACGGUGAAUACGUUCCCGGGCCUUGUACACACCGCCCGUCACACCAUGGGAUUUGGUUUGACCUUAAGUUGGUGCGCUAAUCGCAAGGAGGCAGCCAACCACGGUCGGGUUAGAGACUGGGGUGAAGUCGUAACAAGGUAGCCGUAA
rnacentral:rRNA from 1 species